CACAUGCAAGUCGAGGGGUAUAGUUCUUCGGAACUAGAGAACCGGCGCACGGGUGCGUAACGCGUAUGCAAUCUACCUUAUACAGGGGAAUAGCCCAGAGAAAUUUGGAUUAAUGCCCCAUAGUAUUACGAAACGGCAUCGUUUUGUGAUUAAAGUUCCAACGGUAUAAGAUGAGCAUGCGUCCCAUUAGUUAGUUGGUAAGGUAACGGCUUACCAAGGCGAUGAUGGGUAGGGGUCCUGAGAGGGAGAUCCCCCACACUGGUACUGAGACACGGACCAGACUCCUACGGGAGGCAGCAGUGAGGAAUAUUGGUCAAUGGGCGCAAGCCUGAACCAGCCAUGCCGCGUGCAGGAAGAAUCAUCUAUGGUGUGUAAACUGCUUUUAUACAGGAAGAAACCUCCCUACGAGUAGGGACUUGACGGUACUGUAGGAAUAAGGAUCGGCUAACUCCGUGCCAGCAGCCGCGGUAAUAC
rnacentral:rRNA from 1 species